AUUGAACGCUGGCGGCAUGCUUUACACAUGCAAGUCGAACGGUAACAGGGGCUUCGGCCCGCUGACGAGUGGCGAACGGGUGAGUAAUGUAUCGGAACGUGCCCAGUAGUGGGGGAUAACUACUCGAAAGAGUGGCUAAUACCGCAUGAGAACUGAGGUUGAAAGCGGGGGACCUUCGGGCCUCGCGCUACUGGAGCGGCUGAUAUCAGAUUAGGUAGUUGGUGGGGUAAGAGCCUACCAAGCCUGCGAUCUGUAGCUGGUCUGAGAGGACGACCAGCCACACUGGGACUGAGACACGGCCCAGACUCCUACGGGAGGCAGCAGUGGGGAAUUUUGGACAAUGGGCGCAAGCCUGAUCCAGCAAUGCCGCGUGCAGGACGAAGGCCUUCGGGUUGUAAACUGCUUUUGUACAGAACGAAAAGGCUUCUUCUAAUACAGGAGGCUCAUGACGGUACUGUAAGAAUAAGCACCGGCUAACUACGUGCCAGCCGCCGCAGUAAAAC
rnacentral:rRNA from 1 species